rnacentral:rRNA from 1 species
UACGUAGGGUGCAAGCGUUGUCCGGAAUUAUUGGGCGUAAAGAGCUCGUAGGUGGCUUGUCACGUCUGCUGUGAAAACUCGGGGCUCAACCCCGAGCCUGCAGUGGAUACGGGCUAGCUAGAGUGCGGUAGGGGAGACUGGAAUUCCUGGUGUAGCGGUGAAAUGCGCAGAUAUCAGGAGGAACACCGGUGGCGAAGGCGGGUCUCUGGACUGAUACUGACACUGAGGAGCGAAAGCGUGGGGAGCGAACAGG